UCUAAGCUCAUGUAGUUAACAAACUAACUAAUUGUGAAACUAACUAAUCUUUUUCUUAACCCAAAUGACCACAAAGUGGUCUUCUUUAUUUGAAAACAACCAUAAACAUAUAUGUACAUCCUACAAUCGGGCCCCAAUGGCUCAAUCCAAAAAAAAAAGAUAAAAUCAAGUCCAAAACAAAUAAACGGAUAAAAAUUAAAAUAGGAAACUAAAAAGGAAGAGCUAAGAAAUAUCUAGAGUUUUUUGACCCUUUCUCUUCCAAUGCUCCGCCAAACUCUAUGUGGUGAGAAUCAAUGUUCAAUCUCUUGAGUGGUGAUGUGCUAAUAGAUCCUUUGAAAGAAAAAAAUAAUGUUGUGUUGUAGAGAUGAGAUUUUACCUAUUCAAAAUCUAUAGGGAUAAACCAUUAUUAAAUACCUCAAAGAUCUCACCAUAUGCUAUGGCUUAUCUUUCCCAAUUGGAGAUUCUUCCAUAAUUUGAGUCAAGUAGUAUCACAAACUCAUGUUUGCAGGUAGAUCUUUUCCAAUCUGCUACAGAUCUAUGCUCUCUUUAACCUUUGUUACAAACCCUUUUUGACCCCCUGCCUAUAUGUUCCAUCUAGAAAACUUAGUUUCAACGAAGCGAAUAACACACAUCAAGAUAGAGAAUCUAGAUCAAGGAGAUAAAAGUUCAUGUUGUUGUGUACAUAUGGCUUCCCAUGCUCCUUUGCAGGCGAUAGAGUGUUGCGCACUAAAGCCCAAGCAUUUGGAUCUCCCACUACCUUUCCACUUGCAAGAACCUUUGGUGGAUAUUUGUUGUUGAUCUUUUCUAUUGUGGAGUGUUGAUUUGGCCAUUGCUACUGAUCCUUUUGUUCGAGAAUAGAAUUCUUCAUCUUCCA